rnacentral:rRNA from 1 species
UACGGAGGGAGCUAGCGUUGUUCGGAAUUACUGGGCGUAAAGCGCACGUAGGCGGCUAUUUAAGUCAGGGGUGAAAUCCCGGGGCUCAACCUCGGAACUGCCCUUGAAACUGGAUAGCUUGAAUCUUGGAGAGGCGAGUGGAAUUCCGAGUGUAGAGGUGAAAUUCGUAGAUAUUCGGAAGAACACCAGUGGCGAAGGCGACUCGCUGGACAAGUAUUGACGCUGAGGUGCGAAAGCGUGGGGAGCAAACGGGAUUAGAUACCCUGGUAGUCAAGGGCG